UACGGAGGUGGCAAGCGUUGUUCGGAAUUACUGGGCGUAAAGGGCGCGUAGGCGGCUUAGCAAGUCAGGUGUGAAAUCCCCGAGCUUAACUUGGGAAUUGCUCCUGAAACUGCCGAGCUUGAGUCCUGGAGGGGAUAGCGGAAUUCCCAGUGUAGCGGUGAAAUGCGUAGAUAUUGGGAGGAACACCUGCGGCGAAGGCGGCUAUCUGGACAGUGACUGACGCUGAGGCGCGAAAGCUAGGGGAGCGAACGGG
rnacentral:rRNA from 1 species